GAUGAACGCUGGCGGCGUGCCUAAUACAUGCAAGUCGAGCGAACAGACGAGGAGCUUGCUCCUCUGACGUUAGCGGCGGACGGGUGAGUAACACGUGGAUAACCUACCUAUAAGACUGGGAUAACUUCGGGAAACCGGAGCUAAUACCGGAUAAUAUAUUGAACCGCAUGGUUCAAUAGUGAAAGACGGUUUUGCUGUCUCUUAUAGAUGGAUCCGCGCCGCAUUAGCUAGUUGGUACGGUAACGGCUUACCAAGGCAACGAUGCGUAGCCGACCUGAGAGGGUGAUCGGCCACACUGGAACUGAGACACGGUCCAGACUCCUACGGGAGGCAGCAGUAGGGAAUCUUCCGCAGUAGGCGAAAACCUGACGGAGCGACGCCGCGUGAGUGAUGAAGGUCUUCGGAGCGUAAAACUCUGUUAUUAGGGAAGAACAAAUGUGUAAGUAACUAUGCACGUCUUGACGGUACCUAAUCAGAAAGCCACGGCUAACUACGUG
rnacentral:rRNA from 1 species